rnacentral:rRNA from 1 species
UACGGAGGAUGCAAGCGUUAUCCGGAAUUAUUGGGCGUAAAGCGUCCGCAGGUGGCACUUCAAGUCUGUCGUCAAAGACCGGGGCUUAACCCUGGAAAGGCGAUGGAAACUGAAAGGCUAGAGAGAGGUAGGGGUAGAGGGAAUUCCCGGUGUAGCGGUGAAAUGCGUAGAGAUCGGGAAGAACAUCGGUGGCGAAAGCGCUCUACUGGACCGCAACUGACACUCAGGGACGAAAGCUAGGGGAGCGAAUGGG